rnacentral:lncRNA from 1 species
AGUUGAAUAGCAAUUUUCAAGUGCAGGCGUUUUCCGAACAAUAGUUUCUUUGCUUUAAAGUGAUAUGAAGCAAUAAAUGUCUAAGGAACAUGAUAUUUUGGAUGAGUUAGGUAAAGUUUUCUUUUUUUUCUCUUUCAUGCCUAGCUCAUGCUCCACUAAUCAUCAGAAAUGAUGUUUUGUCAAAAACCAUUGAACAAUUCAUUGAAUCCUUUAUUGUAUUCAAAAUAAUAUUCCCUUUUGUGGAGUUAUUCACAUUGUUCAUUGAGCUUCAAAAUUGUUUUUAAUCAUCUGAAACAUGGAAGGUCUAUCUGUCUGUAAUAAUCACGGCUCUGUGCUUAACCAAGAUCCAAGUGAUAAGAUCUGCUAUUAUGUCCUCUCACCUUGUUUUGUGUGGUUUAUUCUAACCGCAGAUACUUGAAUAAUCUACUACCUGAAUUGGAGGCUUCAGUUCCAAAGAGUUAAAAACCAAAUGCUUCAUCCUCAGAGAUGAUUCAUCAACACCUUUCAAGGACAGUUCAGGAACCACUGAGGGGACAAUAAUCUUUAAGGAUAAGAACAGUGACUGUUCUCCAAUACGAAUGAAAAUAUGAAGACCGAUCCAGCUUGUAGCUUAGACUGCUGUUUCUGCUGCCUCCCAUAGCAACUCAGGAACAGGUGUUCGGAGUCAGUGAAAAUCAGUGCAGUUUCGAUGUGUGGAAGCAAGACAUCAGGGAUGGAGUGCGCUGUCUCUGGGGUGCUUCAGCCUCAAGGCUGAGUUCAGGGGCUGAACUUUGGCCAAACCCUCUCUUUCUUCUCUUCCAAUCCAUAGGCCUAUCUGACAGUCUUGUUGUUGAUGCUUUUCAUCCUAUACACUAAUGGUGAAUAACGCAUUUCCUCGGCACUGUUACUGGCAAGUCCAAAGGCACGUAUUUCCUAAUUUCUUACUUGUUGUGGCAAUAGGUACUUGAGAGACAUUUGGAAAGAGUGACUACUCAUUAUAACUUGGGAGCGCUUUCCAAAGAGUACAAAAAUAGACAUAAACAUUUAGUGCACCAUUUUAUUGGCUGUAUUCAUACCCUGGAUUAAGAUGUGCAUAUGUACAUAAAUUUUUCAUCUUCCCCCUUCCCGUUGAGUGAUUUUAUGUCCGAGUAACAUGUAAUUGUGCAAAUGUUCAUGUAUAGUAUUAAGAGUAAAAUUUUUAUGUAUUUACUGGAUAUUCAUA